CAGCCGCCGCGGUAAUACGUAGGUGGCAAGCGUUGUCCGGAAUUAUUGGGCGUAAAGGGCUCGCAGGCGGUUUCUUAAGUCUGAUGUGAAAGCCCCGGCUCAACCGGGGAGGGUCAUUGGAAACUGGGAAACUUGAGUGCAGAAGAGGAGAGUGGAAUUCCACGUGUAGCGGUGAAAUGCGUAGAGAUGUGGAGGAACACCAGUGGCGAAGGCGACUCUCUGGUCUGUAACUGACGCUGAGGAGCGAAAGCGUGGGGAGCGAACAGGAUUAGAUACCCGCGUAGUCCCUGUCUCUUAUACA
rnacentral:rRNA from 1 species